AGAACUUUUAUAUAGUUUUCCAAGUAAAUGAACCAUAACUCAGGUGCUCAGAGCCAUGCUUGGUGCUUGCCUAUGUGGGACAGUACUGUUGCAUUAUAAUGACUUUUUGCAUAAACUGAUGUUACUACAACAUGUGAGAAGAAAUCCCAACUUUUUUUCACAAUUUUCAGUUUGUUGAGUUUCUACUUUUCAGCAUGGAAAAAGCAUGAAUCCACCAUAUCCCAUCUAUUUGGAUUUGGCUACACAGUCUUUCAUUGCAAUCAUAAAUAAUUUGGAAUGAAUUAAUUAAACUUAUGGCGGUUCUCCAUCAUGGAAAAUCUUGCCAGCAUUUUAUAAACUUAAUAUGUCAGAGAGAUUCAGAACUCCUUCACACCAUAGUACAUGCGUGCAUGCCCCCCAAUGAAUCAACCUCAACUGCCAGGAGGGCAGGCAGUGGAGGUCCUGAAGUUUAUUUUAAGCGCCACACUCAAUAGUUGAACCCUUCCCUUUUUUUUUUUUGUUCCCGCAAUUCUAGGAAGUUAUUAUAGGUCUAGUCACCACAUUACCGGACUACUUUGUCUUCCCUCUCAAAUGCUGGGAUGGUCUUGUCCAGAAAACAGUUUAACUUGCAAAAUUGCAAACAAGAACAAAAAAAAUUGUUACAAUGAGUGGGUCUAGUUCCACUGCACCUUUUAGUUAUCCAUCCCACAUCCUUCAUUUUGAUGUUGAUAUGCAUCUCACAAUAUGGAGUGGAUAAACAAAUGGAGUAGAAAAGACCCAUGGAUAAAAUAAUAGUUGCACAAAUCCUUUUCCACUGUAGUUUAUUUCCUAGUUUAACAAGGUGUGCUGAAUAAAGAGUACUUUUAAUACCUUGAGAAUCUUCUGGAAUUGACUUGUCACCUUUGAGAUACAAUUCGUCAAUCCUGUCCAAAUCUAAGCCAUCCAUCUGUGCAAACUCAUAUAAUAGAUGACCAAUAAAGUUGUAAGCAACCAUACUUGUUUCAUCACAAAUUUCUUGAACAGCAAGGAAUCUGUUUCUUUUCUCACAUUGCAUAUUAUGCAUGAAUCUUGCCUGCAUAAAUUUUGCUUCUUCGCUUGAGAAAUCCAAAGGGGAAAAAUCAAGUGGAUUUGCUGAAUCAACUUUAGAUUCUUGUCCCUCAGCAUAAGUUCCAGCACCAUUUCCUUUAGGCAUAGAUGCAAAUGAAAUGGAAUCAACUGGUUCUACUUUAACCAUACUUCUGUGGUACUGAGUUCCAUCUUGAUUUAUUGGGCUAUUCAGAAAUUUAGAUUCCCAACAUGGAGAGGAACAGACAUUUUCAUUAACUACUGAGGUAGGUGACUUGUAAUCAACUAGUUGUGCAUGCCCUAUACUUUCUGCUAGGUACUGAGUUCCAUCUUGAUUUAUUUGGCUGUUCAGAAAUUUAGAUUCCCAACAUGGAGACGAAUAGACAUUUUCAUUAACUGCUGAGGUAGGCGACUUGUAAUCGAUUAGUUGUGUAUGCCCUAUACUUUCUGCUAGGCUAUUUGAAUUGUUGCAAUCAAAUCUACAACUCUUUGGGAGUCCCAUCUGCUCAUCAUCGCCACCAUCAUCACUUUCUUCUAAAUCUUCCACAUAUGCAUCUGCAUAGUCUUCAUCAAACUCUUGCUCAGGAAGCAAGUCCCACAUAAUCUGCUUCAUCUGAGCACUCACACCCAGUACACAUUCUAUCUCUUCUUCCUUUUCCUCUUUCGAAAGAAAUCUAGGUGGAGUACCUUGAGAGCUUCUGUUAAUAAUAGCAAUAGCAUCUAAUAAAGACUUUGGAAUGGUGUCCAUAUCACUGCACUCAAAAAGAUAUUCAGUCAACAGUUUCUUUAUUGCAAAUCGCAAAGACCCGUUUGAGAUUUCAGCACUUGGAUCUAGCAAAAGUUGCAAGUUCUUCAGCAUCGGAAAUCUUAUUUUAUUUUCAAUUAACCAAAUGGCGUUUCUUAUAUCUUUCUGCAGUUCUUCUAUCUCUGGUGAGAACUGAAGAAACUCCGUAGCAGAGGCAUUCUGAUGGCCAAAUUCUAGAUUCAAUGAUAGAUCUCCAAUGGCCAUUGCUUUGGCCAAUGGUUCUUGUAGCUCAUCCCCAUUACCAAGAUCUGAAAGCAUCUUCAAACUAGUUUUCCUCACUUGUUUUAUUAAACCUUUCCGAGACCAUCCUGAUCUGUGAGGUUUUAACUGAAGCAUGCCUGGAAUGCCUCUAAGCCUCCUGUGCAUUGCCAUCAGGGCCUGAGAAGGCAUGCUCUCAAGUCUUCCCAGUACCUUGGUAACUGCAGGAUGAUGAGACUGGAAGGUGAUUCUCAAAGGAAUUGGACAAUUCUCUUGAAAAUUAUGUGGAUCCUUCAGCAAUUGAUAUAUUUGUUUAGACACACUAAUCUGGUGACUAUUGGUACUCUGAUUUCUAAGUACUUUUCGGAGGUGUUCUUUAAUCACCCUUUUCAUCUUUCUGCGAGUUUUGUCAAACUUCAAUAAGCCUCCUGUAAGUAUCUUAGCUAGAAGGUAAAGCCCAUUGUUUGUCAUAUUAUCAAGCAGGUUGGAAAGUACCCUUCCAAUACUAAACAAAUCAAACUGUUGUUCAUUAUCUUGGACUGCAUGAUGCUCUGUUUCAGCACUACAUGCGCCAAAGCCUUUUUCAACAAAAUUUUUAACAGUCUCAUAGAAUACCUGAAAAGAACAAGAAAAAAUUGGCUAACUAAAAGGAGAGCAUUAAGAUGUGCAACAUCAUCUGAGUCUGUUUAAAUCUAACAAGAUAUACAUGCGGCCAGGCUGGAAAGAUGGAGGAAGUUUAAAACUACCAAUACCAAUAUUUUACCAAAGACAUAUACUAUAUAUCCAUUGGGUGCAUUUCAUCUGAGUCUGUGGGCAGGACUACUUUCAUGAGUACCUUAGGUUACCCAAUAAACUUGUCCAAUAGAGAAACUUCUUUCUCCGAAUGUUGAUAUUUAACUGUGUACAAAUGGAUUAUGCCCCCUUGUACUUUUUAAUAAAAGAUUACAUGUAAAAAUAUGGUUGGUAUGUGUAAGAAUUGAAAAAGGAAGCCAUUUCUUGAUCAAGCUUUGAUCUACAGGCAAGUUAGAGGCACCUAAAGUAGAGGCAAGGUAGAGGAAAACCAAAAGCAAAGAGCCAAAGUCCACAAACAUAGAAGCAGUGAAGAGAAUGUUAAGAUGUUAAGGGAUUGAGAGGUUGAUUCUUAAGGUUUUACAGGAUAACAUAAUUGUUGUAUGAAACCAACAAGUAUUUUCAAAUUUCACAGGUAAUACAAAGUAGAAGAUGACAAGGGGUUCUCAUCAAAUGGGCAUGGGAUAGAAUGAGGAAAAAGAACUUAAUGUUAU
rnacentral:lncRNA from 1 species